AGCAGCCGCGGUAAUUCCAGCUCCAAUAGCGUAUAUUUAAGUUGUUGCAGUUAAAAAGCUCGUAGUUGAAUUUCGGGAUCAAUAUAUCGGUCGUGCCAUUGGUACGUACUGGUAUCAUUGGUUUCUCCUUUCUGACGAACCAUGAUGUCAUUAAUUUGGUGUUAUGGGAAGUUAGGACUGUUACUUUGAAAAAUUAGAGUGUUUAAAGCAGGCUUUAGCUUGAAUACAUUAGCAUGGAAUAAUGAAAUAGGACGUUCGAACCUAUUUUGUUGGUUUCUAGGAUCAACGUAAUGAUUAAUAGGGAUAGUUGGGGGCAUUAGUAUUCAAUUGUCAGAGGUGAAAUUCUUGGAUUUAUUGAAGACUAACUACUGCGAAAGCAUUUGCCAAGGAUGUUUUCAUUAAUCA
rnacentral:rRNA from 1 species